rnacentral:rRNA from 1 species
UACGUAGGUGGCAAGCGUUAUCCGGAAUUAUUGGGCGUAAAGCGCGCGUAGGCGGUAAAAUAAGUCUGAUGUGAAAGCCCCCGGCUCAACCGGGGAGGGUCAUUGGAAACUGUUUUACUUGAGUACAGAAGAGGAGAGUGGAAUUCCAUGUGUAGCGGUGAAAUGCGCAGAGAUAUGGAAGAACACCAGUGGCGAAGGCGACAUUCUGGUCUGUUACUGACACUGAGGCUCGAAAGCGUGGGGAGCAAACAGG